AGUGAACGCUGGCGGUAGGCCUAACACAUGCAAGUCGAACGGCAGCACAGUAAGAGCUUGCUCUUACGGGUGGCGAGUGGCGGACGGGUGAGGAAUACAUCGGAAUCUACUUUUUCGUGGGGGAUAACGUAGGGAAACUUACGCUAAUACCGCAUACGACCUACGGUUGAAAGCAGGGGAUCUUUGGACCUUGCGCGAUUGAAUGAGCCGAUGUCGGAUUAGCUAGUUGGCGGGGUAAAGGCCCACCAAGGCGACGAUCCGUAGCUGGUCUGAGAGGAUGAUCAGCCACACUGGAACUGAGACACGGUCCAGACUCCUACGGGAGGCAGCAGUGGGGAGUAUUGGACAAUGGGCGCAAGCCUGAUCCAGCCAUACCGCGUGGGUGAAGAAGGCCUUCGGGUUGUAAAGCCCUUUUGUUGGGAAAGAAAAGCAGCAGGUUAAUACCCCGCUGUUCUGACGGUACCCAAAGAAUAAGCACCGGCUAACUUCGUG
rnacentral:rRNA from 1 species